GACGAACGCUGGCGGCGUGCUUAACACAUGCAAGUCGAACGCUGAAGCUUGGUGCUUGCACUGGGUGGAUGAGUGGCGAACGGGUGAGUAAUACGUGAGUAACCUGCCCUUGACUCUGGGAUAAGCCUGGGAAACUGGGUCUAAUACUGGAUACGACAUGCCACUGCAUGGUGGUGUGUGGAAAGGGUUUUACUGGUUUUGGAUGGGCUCACGGCCUAUCAGCUUGUUGGUGGGGUAAUGGCCUACCAAGGCGACGACGGGUAGCCGGCCUGAGGGGGUGACCGGCCACACUGGGACUGAGACACGGCCCAGACUCCUACGGGAGGCAGCAGUGGGGAAUAUUGCACAAUGGGCGGAAGCCUGAUGCAGCGACGCCGCGUGAGGGAUGACGGCCUUCGGGUUGUAAACCUCUUUCAGCACGGAAGAAGCGAGAGUGACGGUACGUGCAGAAGAAGCGCCGGCUAACUACGUG
rnacentral:rRNA from 1 species